rnacentral:rRNA from 1 species
UACGUAGGUGGCAAGCGUUAUCCGGAAUGAUUGGGCGCAAAGGGUGCGCAGGCGGAACCAUAAGUCUGAAGUAAAAGCCAUCGGCUCAACCGAUGUAAGCUUUGGAAACUGUGGAUCUGGAGUGCAGGAGAGGACAGUGGAAUUCCAUGUGUAGCGGUAAAAUGCAUAGAUAUAUGGAGGAACACCAGUGGCGAAGGCGGCUGUCUGGCCUGUAACUGACGCUGAGGCACGAAAGCGUGGGGAGCAAAUAGG